rnacentral:rRNA from 1 species
UACGUAGGGGGCAAGCGUUGUCCGGAUUUAUUGGGCGUAAAGAGCGUGUAGGCGGCCAGGUAGGUCAGCUGUGAAAACUCGAGGCUCAACCUCGAGACGCCGGUUGAAACCAUCUGGCUAGAGUCCGGAAGAGGAGAGUGGAAUUCCUGGUGUAGCGGUGAAAUGCGCAGAUAUCAGGAAGAACACCCGUGGCGAAGGCGGCUCUCCGGGACGGUACUGACGCUGAGACGCGAAAGCGUGGGGAGCAAACAGG